rnacentral:rRNA from 1 species
UACAGAGGGUGCGAGCGUUGUCCGGAAUUACUGGGCGUAAAGGGCGCGUAGGCGGCUUGGUAAGUCUGUCGUGAAAGCCCCGGGCUCAACCUGGGAAUGGCGAUGGAUACUGGCGGGCUAGAGUGCGGUAGAGGGUGGUGGAAUUCCCGGUGUAGCAGUGAAAUGCGUAGAGAUCGGGAGGAACAUCAGUUGCGAAGGCGGCCACCUGGACCAGCACUGACACUGAGGCACGAAAGCGUGGGGAGCAAACAGG